rnacentral:rRNA from 1 species
UACGUAGGGUGCGAGCGUUAAUCGGAAUUACUGGGCGUAAAGCGUGCGCAGGCGGUUUUGUAAGCCCGGUGUGAAAUCCCCGGGCUUAACCUGGGAAUGGCAUUUGGGACUGCAAGGCUGGAGUGCGGCAGAGGAGACUGGAAUUCCUGGUGUAGCAGUGAAAUGCGUAGAUAUCAGGAGGAAUACCGAUGGCGAAGGCAGGUCUCUGGGCUGACACUGACGCUGAGGAGCGAAAGCGUGGGGAGCGAACAGG